GACAGAGGGGGCAAGCGUUGCUCGGAAUUACUGGGCGUAAAGGGCGCGUAGGCGGAAUGGCAAGUCGGUCGUGAAAUCCUUCGGCUCAACCGAAGAACGUCGAUCGAAACUGCCGUUCUUGAGGAUUGCAGAGGAGACUGGAAUUCCCGGUGUAGCGGUGAAAUGCGUAGAUAUCUGGAGGAACACCGGUGGCGAAGGCGGCAUCCUGGACCAACACUGACGCUGAGUGAGCGAAAGCCAGGGGAGCAAACGGG
rnacentral:rRNA from 1 species